rnacentral:RNase_P_RNA from 1 species
CGAGUCGGCAGGGCGGUCGCGGCGUCACCUGGUGGCGUCGAGGAAAGUCCGGACUCCACAGGGCAGGGUGGUUGCUAACGGCAACCCGGGGCGACCCGCGGGACAGUGCCACAGAGAACAGACCGCCUGGCGUUCGCGCCAGGUAAGGGUGAAACGGUGGUGUAAGAGACCACCAGCAUCCCGGGUGACCGGGAUGGCUUGGUAAACCCCACCCGGAGCAAGGCCAAGAGGGAGCGCACGCUCCUGCGCAGGCGUUCGAGGACGGCCCGUCCGAGCCUGCGGGUAGGCCGCUGGAGCCUGCCGGCGACGGCAGGCCGAGAUGGAUGGCCGCCCAUCGCGUCGUCGAGGCGGCGUGGGGACAGGAUCCGGCUUACAUGCCGGCUCGUCCG